GAAAGAUGGCUUUAGCUAUCACUCUGGGAUGGACCUGCGGUGCAUUAGCUAGUUGGUAAGGUAACGGCUUACCAAGGCGAUGAUGCAUAGCCGAGUUGAGAGACUGAUCGGCCACAAUGGAACUGAGACACGGUCCAUACUCCUACGGGAGGCAGCAGUAGGGAAUCUUCCACAAUGGGCGCAAGCCUGAUGGAGCAACACCGCGUGAGUGAAGAAGGGUUUCGGCUCGUAAAGCUCUGUUGUUGGAGAAGAACGUGCGUGAGAGUAACUGUUCACGCAGUGACGGUAUCCAACCAGAAAGUCACGGCUAACUACGUGCCAGCAGCCGCGGUAAUACGUAGGUGGCAAGCGUUAUCCGGAUUUAUUGGGCGUAAAGCGAGCGCAGGCGGUUGCUUAGGUCUGAUGUGAAAGCCUUCGGCUUAACCGAAGAAGUGCAUCGGAAACCGGGCGACUUGAGUGCAGAAGAGGACAGUGGAACUCCAUGUGUAGCGGUGGAAUGCGUAGAUAUAUGGAAGAACACCAGUGGCGAAGGCGGCUGUCUGGUCUGCAACUGACGCUGAGGCUCGAAAGCAUGGGUAGCGAACAGGAUUAGAUACCCUGGUAGUCCAUGCCGUAAACGAUGAGUGCUAGGUGUUGGAGGGUUUCCGCCCUUCA
rnacentral:rRNA from 1 species